CCCAGGAGGCAGAGGUUACAGUGAGCUGAAAUUGUACCACUGCACUCCAGCCUGGGCGACAGAACCAGGAUCUGUCUCUAAAUAAGUAAAUAAAUAAAUCGAAUGGGUAUAAUACCCCAUGGCUGUCAGGAGGGUGAAAUAUUAUGUACAUUAAACUGUUAGUCCUGUCCUUUCCUGCCUGAUUAGAGGUCCUAGGACUAGGAGCCAGGUAGAGACACUGGGUGACCCAAGAACCUGGUGCAAGGUGCUUCUGUCAGCUGCUUGGAUCCCAGUCCCCAGGCCCAUGUCUGUGACCCCCGCUGAGCCACGCAGUGGGGGAUGUGACCUUUUCUCCCCCUCCUCCCACAAAUACUGCCUAGAAGAGCCUCCCACCUCUGGAGCUGCCUGGCUGUCUUCCAUCUCCUUGUUCCCUGGGGUCAUGGUCCUUGUGCUCUCAGGACUUGUCUGGUGACAGAUCCAGGGAAGGAGGUUUUAUUGUUUUUAAUUCAAGUGGGAAAAGUGUAAGCUCAGCUUGGCAAAGCCCCACCAGUGAGGAGCCCCUCCCCUCCCCAAGCCCCUUAUCCAAGUAUCCUCUAAGCCCAGCCCUCCUUUUCUCCCCGUGCACAGGUACUCCAGCCCCACAGCAGCCUCAGGCUCUGCUCUCCUGCCCUGCCGCCUCAGACCUCUGGGCUCCUGCAGCCCAGCUGGGUUCUGGGUAGGGCCAUUGUGCUGACCAUGCCCCCAUGCAGGGUAAUGCCCCCUACUGUGCACCCUGCACGACCAGGCUGGGGCCCCCGACCUCUGAGUUUGGCCUGACUAGGGCCUGUGUUGCUGUGGUGCUAGGCUAGGCUGCUGGCCUAAGAGUGGCCAAGAGAGUGUGGCCCCCCUCAGCACCCUUCCCCCAGCACUUCUGGGGUGGCUUUCUGCCACCCACAUCAUCUUGAGGACUAUCCCUUGUCAUGCAGCCUGGAAGGCAAGAACUCCUGGGCCAGGGUUUUGGGGCCAGGGCCAGAAAUUCCCCUGGCGGAGCCCUGCCCCUAGAUUCACAGCUUUCCCAUUCCCAGUGAAAUAUCCAUGGGGCCCAUGUGUCUGCCCCUGGAUCAGACCCAGACAGGGAGGGGCUGCUGAUGCUGGUAGAGACAGGGCUGAGGCCACAGGUACAAAUCCACUUUCUCUUUGAGGGUGGGGACAAGAGGUGGGGGCUGGAGCCCUGGAGUCCCUGGCUUCACAAUUUAGGAAAGAGGGUCUCCAAGUCCUCUGAGGUUUGGAGUCCAGUCUCCUCUCUCCUGAAGCUGAGAGCUGGAAGAGAUCGACAUAUUAAGGUUUUUGAGUUUCUCUGAGAGAUGAUGUGAAAUGUAUGCAACGUGAUGCCAGUCAGAAUUAAUUAUCCUUGAAUCAACAACCUGGUGUCAAUGAAAAAAUGCUUUGUAGUCUGGGAUACGAGGCAGGUUUACCCAGCCCUAACUGAGACUGGAAGAGUGGGGUUGCCCCAUUUCCAGUCAAUUCACUCCACAAAACACUGAAGAGAAUUCGAAGAAAAGGAGAAAACUGCAACAAAGUAGGACUGUCACGUGCUCUGAGCAGUGACAAGGUCUCUCACAUAUCCUAGAGUUCUUUAAAUGAAGGCAAUCAGCCCUGCAUCUCUUCCCAAAGCACUGCAGUCUCCUCUGACUCCACCUUAUCUGACUCAUCAUCUGGGAAACAAGGGGAGCCCAGCGGGGCCAGGGGAGUACAAAGCUGUAGUUGCCCCUCCAGAUCACCUUGUUCCUCAACUAGCACCCCUGAAAGCCAAUCAGGGACCCCAUAAGGGCAGGCAGAAGUGAGGGUGGGAGGGGCAGUGUCCCUCAAGGAUUGGGGGACCUCAGGACCUCUCUGGCUAAAUCAUGUUUGAAGUUUGGUAGAAAGGGCUUCCUAAGGUGACACCUUUUUAAGGUGUUGGAGCCUUAAGAUUUGGAGGUAGGUUGUUUGGGUUCAGGUGAGCGUCCAGUGCUUUCCUGCAGCACCGUCACAGCCUUAUUUCAGUGAGGGAAGGAAGGAGAGCUGUUAAUGAGAAGCAGUUCUAUGGCCUGAAGACCUGGGCUCAAAACAAAACCAACAAACAAAAAAGACCUGAGCUCUGCCUUUUAUUAGCUGUGUGAUCAUGGAUAUAUUAGUUAACCUCUCUGGGCCAAACUCUAUCUGCAAAAUAGAAUACUGGUAUCCACCUCACAGAGUUGAAGGAUCAGCUGAAGCAACCUAAAGCAUCUAGUUAGUGCCCAGCACCUAGCAGGCACAGGGGGGUGCAGUGGGGCUGACAGUGGGGGCUGACAGUGGAAGCUGUAGCUGGUCUUAGCUCCAGCUCAUACCCUUUGGGUCCGGGAGCCAGUGUGUGUCUGUCUCCUCUCCUCUGGGCCCAGUGAUUGCUUAGGUGACUGGGGUGACAGGCAAGUGGGUGGAGGGAAUGGGGAAGAGUGUGCCCUGGGAUCUGAGGGCUUUACCUCGGGAAGAGACUGCCCUCUGGCUUUGGGCAGCCCUAGCACAGUGAUCCUGCUUCCUAGCUGGGGUAUCCCACCCUCACCUCAACGAUGGUGAAACUGCUAUGCCUCCUGCUGUUGAGGCAACCUGGAGGCAGAGAAACCUACAAGCGACACAGACCCAAGGUGGCAGUUCCACAGUGCCAACGGGUGCCAGCACCUUCAAGAGAAUGAAAUUCACAAAGAUGCCUUUCAUCUACACGCGAUGGUGGGCAUGGCAGCAUUGUCAGCAUUCCUGCAGUUGGGACAGGAAGCGGAAUUGGUGAGUAGAUGGGGAGGGCUGGGGAAGAUGAGGCCCUUCUGAGCCCUAGGGCACACAGGUAUGGGUGCUAUUCUCCAAAUAGUCACUCCACUUGUCUGCCUGCUGCCUUCCUGGGCCUGUGACUGCUGUGAGGACCUGGCCCUGAGCCUGUGGUUAGGCAGAGUCAUGGAAUGAGCAUCCCUAAACAUGCCUAAUAUAGCCAUCCCAUCGCCCUGCGCUCCACUCUGCCCCAGCACCCCUGAGAACAGCUCUGGCUACUGACUCCAGGCAGCAGGACUGGUUCAGGAGCAGACCUAGUAGAGGCCUGGCCUUCUAGACCUGGACAACCAGGUCAGUGGAGAGUCCUCUGCUCAGAGUUCAGAUUUUCCUCCAUGCUACACUUUCUGAGGAUGUGAAUUUAUUUCAUGGCCAACUCAAAUAGCGUGGCAGGGAACCUGAGCUUCUAGAGUCCUCCAGGGAGCCCAGGGUUAGGAUCAGGACUCACAGUUCAGGACAACAGGUGGGGCACAGCCAUUCACAGCUAAAGGUUUGUAUAUAUUAUCAAAAUCUUAUGGAAAAACAGAUACACAGCUAUUUAUACAGCAGCAGGUGGAUGUGAGGAAAGUGUCUACUUUGGCAUCAAACCUUCAAGUCCAGCUGCUGUCUGUCCCACUCCUCCUGUCUCGAGUCUACUCCCACCAGGCACUGUCCAUCCAGGCCGCUGCCCCUGCCACAUCCUCUGAUUAGCCUGGACUUUGGGGUGUCCUCAGCCCCUCCCCAUGCUCCCCUUUGUGCCCCCAUGCCUCUCCAUCUUUCUGCCAUUGUCCCACACAGAGUGCCACUGGCCCAGCAGCUUUGCCCCGUGGGCUCCUCAGAGGCCUGAAUCCUGGCCCUAGAGGGCAGUGGGGCUGGGGUGGAUGUGGUCCCUGUGGGACAUCUUUCCUGGAUCACAGGUCUUUUGCAGCUUGCCAGCUACAUGGGCCCUGGACAGUGCCAUCUUCUCAGCGAUGUGCUAAAAGGACUCUUCUUGUCCGGAAACCUGAGCUCCAGGUAUUAAAGCAAAAUUUGGAGAGCCUCAGAGACAAGAAAAGGAAAGCGAGAAGAGAUAAGGCAUCCUUCCUUGAGCGUGACCCAGGCCUUGACUGUCCCAUGGCAGAAUAGGGACAUCCACAGCAGGUCAGCCAGGGACAGGGUGGGCAGGGUCUGUGUAGCCCUGGGAGGUGAGGCCUGAGCAGUCAUGGCAUUGGCAGAUGGUGCCUGGUAGCCUGGUCCUACUGAAGCAGUUUGGGCACUUCCACCUGUAGGGGCAAAGUAGAGACAGGUUAGAGAAGGGAGCUUGGCCACCUCACCUCCCUCCCUACUGGAAGGACACAGGAGACACUGCAAUAU